rnacentral:rRNA from 1 species
AGUGGAUGGGGAGCAACCUAGUUGUGCGUGUGUAAAGGUAGUGCCAAGAAAAGCGAUGAUCAUGUUGAAAAUCAAUUCCCGGUACCCGAAACCGACACAGGUGGGCAAGUAGAGAAUACUAAGGGGCGCGAGGUAACUCUCUCCAAGGAACUCGGCAAAAUGACCCCGUAACUUAGGGAGAAGGGGUGCCACCGAGAGGUGGUCGCAGUGAAGAGGCCCAGGCGACUGUUUAGCAAAAACAUAGGUCUCUGCAAACUCGAAAGAGGAGGUAUAGGGGCUGACGCCUGCCCAGUGCCGGAAGGUUAAAGAAGUUGGUCAGUUUUAGGAUGAAGCUAGCGACUGAAGCCCCGGUGAACGGCGGCCGUAACUAUAACGGUCCUAAGGUAGCGAAAUUCCUUGUCGGGUAAGUUCCGACCCGCACGAAAGGCGUAACGAUCUGGGCGCUGUCUCGGAGAGAGGCUCGGCGAAAUAGGAUUGUCUGUGAAGAUUCGGACUACCUGCAUUUGGACAGAAAGACCCUAUGAAGCUUUACUAUAGCUUGGAAUUGUGUUCGGGCUUCCUGUGCGCAGGAUAGGUGGGAGGCGUAGAAGGUAUUCUUGUGGGGAUACUGGAGCCAACGGUGAGAUACCACUCUCAGGAGGCUAGAAUUCUAACUUAAUUAAGGACAGUUUCAGGUGGGUAGUUUGACUGGGGCGGUCGCCUCCAAAAAGGUAACGGAGGCGUACAAAGGUUCCCUCAGACUGGUUGGAAAUCAGUCGAAGAGUGCAAAGGCAGAAGGGAGCUUGACUGCGAGAAGUACAGUUCGAGCAGGGUGGAAACACGGUCUUAGUGAUCCGACGGUGCUGUGUGGAAGGGCCGUCGCUCAACGGAUAAAAGUUACUCUAGGAUAACAGGCUGAUCUCCCCCAAGAGUUCACAUCGACGGGGAGGUUUGGCACCUCGAUGUCGGCUCAUCGCAACCUGGGGCGGAAGUACGUCCCAAGGGUUGGGCUGUUCGCCCAUUAAAGCGGUACGUGAGCUGGGUUCAGAACGUCGUGAGACAGUUCGGUCCAUAUCCGAUGUAGGCGUGAGAAUAUUGAGAGGAGCCUUCCUUAGUACGAGAGGACCGGGAAGGACGCACCGCUGGUGUACCUGUUAUGAUGCCAAUUGUAAACGCAGGGUAGCCAAGUGCGGAGAGGAUAACCGCUGAAAGCAUCUAAGUGGGAAGCCCACCUCAAGAUGAGUAUUCUGGUGUAAGGUCACGGGAAGACGACCCGUAAAUAGGCACGAGGUGGAAGUGCAGAGAUGUAUGAAGCCGAAGUGUACUAAUAGACCGUCGGCUUGACC